ACAGCGCUGUGUGCCCAAUGGUCACGUGGAACUGAAUCUGAAAAACAAAACAGCGCAGGACGUGCAUCACGGAAGAAGGGUGAGUGUGAGGUGUGGCAUCGCUAAAGGACAGUCAGGUGCAGGCUCCAGCAAAGCAGAGAUGGAGAGUUCACGCAUCUGAAAAGCUGGAGGCAGACCUUGGCCAAACUGUGAAUUCAGAUUCUCUUCAACACUGAGAAGGCUACACACAAUUUCCUUUGAGUAAGAACCAACAGGUGCACUUGGGCCUGUCUGACAGCAGGAGUGGGCUUUGGGCUUGGAGAGGAGACAAAGCCUUCAGACUGAGAAGCUGUAUCUUGGUAUCCUCUGGAUCAGAACCACUAGAACUGUUCCCUAUCAAAAUAUAACUUGCUAUGUUUGGGAUUCGUUUAUGCUUAUCUCUGGGGUAAAUCUGUAGGUGUGAAAGUAGUCACAGAUAAAAAGCUAAAGCUUUACUUUCU